GAAGAAGAGCUGCAUAUCCCUGAGGACCUCACAAUCAGAGAAGGAAGAUACAGCACAGAAGUCACGGGAUCGGGCUCUGUCGGCUCUCUCUCUCUCUGGUAGCCACGCAGAGGGCUGGGUGUGCUUCCAAGCCGUGCGCCUUCAUUCAAGUAGGCCUUUCGGUUUCGGAAACCUUCUCUCACUUAUUUCAUUUGAUUUAUUACUCUCAAUUACAAUUAGAUUGUAUUAUAUUGGGUUAUCUUGCAUUCCGAUAUCACAGUCAGU
rnacentral:lncRNA from 1 species